CUUCUGAUCAGUGGCGAACGGGUGAGUAACACGUGAGUAACCUGCCCCAGACUCUGGGAUAAGCCUUGGAAACGAGGUCUAAUACCGGAUACGCGACUCCACCGCAUGGUGAGGGUUGGGAAAGUUUUUCGGUCUGGGAUGGACUCGCGGCCUAUCAGCUUGUUGGUGAGGUAAUGGCUCACCAAGGCGACGACGGGUAGCCGGCCUGAGAGGGCGACCGGCCACACUGGAACUGAGACACGGUCCAGACUCCUACGGGAGGCAGCAGUGGGGAAUAUUGCACAAUGGGCGAAAGCCUGAUGCAGCGACGCCGCGUGGGGGAUGAAGGCCUUCGGGUUGUAAACCCCUUUCAGCAGGGAAGAAGCGAAAGUGACGGUACCUGCAGAAGAAGCGCCGGCUAACUACGUGCCAGCAGCCGCGGUAAUACGUAGGGCGCAAGCGUUGUCCGGAAUUAUUGGGCGUAAAGAGCUCGUAGGCGGUUCGUCGCGUCUGCUGUGAAAACCCGAGGCUCAACCUCGGGCCUGCAGUGGGUACGGGCGGACUAGAGUGUGGUAGGGGAGACUGGAAUUCCUGGUGUAGCGGUGGAAUGCGCAGAUAUCAGGAGGAACACCGAUGGCGAAGGCAGGUCUCUGGGCCACAACUGACGCUGAGGAGCGAAAGCGUGGGGAGCGAACAGGAUUAGAUACCCUGGUAGUCCACGCCGUAAACGGUGGGCACUAGAUGUGGGGCUUAUUCCAUGAGUUCCGCGUCGCAGCUAACGCAUUAAGUGCCCCGCCUGGGGAGUACGGCCGCAAGGCUAAAACUCAAAGGAAUUGACGGGGGCCCGCACAAGCGGCGGAGCAUGCGGAUUAAUUCGAUGCAACGCGAAGAACCUUACCAAGGCUUGACAUAUACCCUCUACCCCCAGAGAUGGGGGGUGCUUCGGCGGGGUAUACAGGUGGUGCAUGGUUGUCGUCAGCUCGUGUCGUGAGAUGUUGGGUUAAGUCCCGCAACGAGCGCAACCCUCGUCCUAUGUUGCCAGCACGU
rnacentral:rRNA from 1 species